GCCACCUUAGCUCAGCUGGCAGAGCUCCCGCCUUGUAAGCGGACGGUCGCGGGUUCGAGUCCCGCAGGUGGCUCCA
rnacentral:tRNA from 1 species